rnacentral:tRNA from 1 species
GUGGUCGUAGUUCAACGGUUAGAAUAUCUGGUUGUGAUCCAGAAGACGGGGGUUCGAUUCCCCUCGACCACCC